rnacentral:misc_RNA from 1 species
GUGCAUCGAACUGCUGACGCUCCAUCCCAUUCAGUCCCUUGUCCAAAUGAAACAUCAUCUUGUGGGCUAAUGAGGUAUCUUGUGUUGCUUACCAAUGGAAUGGAAAUCGUUGGCUUUGUUACGUGAAUCCACCUUAAUGCCCYUAUUGGGAUUGARGUGGACAUGAGGCGAGCUCUGUGUUCCCAGCAUACAAGCACUUUGGUGAUUGCAUGUUGUGGCCCAUGGUGUCUUCGCUUGUUCUCUUGGAUACAGAAUGCUACGUGUGGGCUUGUGAGGUCUUGACCCCAACUCGUCAAAGCACUAUCUUUUUACUCGAAUGAUUGUCGAACUUGUCUUGAUCUUCCCGACCGAGGCCUCKUAAUGGGGCUUACCGGACGAGGGUUGAACAUGCAGGUGUUGGCAUCAGAGAGGAAAGAGUAUCGAAUGACUGUCGUACUUGUCUUGAUCUUCCCGACCGAGGCCUCGUAAUGGGGCUUACCGGAUGAGGGUUGAACAUGCAGGUGUCGGCAUCAAAGAGGAAUGU